rnacentral:rRNA from 1 species
CGGGAUUAGUGGCGGACGGGUGAGUAACACGUGGGAACGUGCCCUUUGGUUCGGAACAACUCAGGGAAACUUGAGCUAAUACCGAAUGUGCCCUUCGGGGGAAAGAUUUAUCGCCAUUAGAGCGGCCCGCGUCUGAUUAGCUAGUUGGUGAGGUAAAGGCCCACCAAGGCUACGAUCAGUAGCUGGUCUGAGAGGAUGAUCAGCCACGCUGGGACUGAGACACGGCCCAG